GAUGAACGCUGGCGGCGUGCCUAAUACAUGCAAGUCGAGCGAACAGACGAGGAGCUUGCUCCUCUGACGUUAGCGGCGGACGGGUGAGUAACACGUUGAUAACCUACCUAUAAGACUGGGAUAACUUCGGGAAACCGGAGCUAAUACCGGAUAAUAUAUUGAACCGCAUGGUUCAAUAGUGAAAGACGGUUUUGCUGUCACUUAUAGAUGGAUCCGCGCUGCAUUAGCUAGUUGGUAAGGUAACGGCUUACCAAGGCAACGAUGCGUAGCCGACCUGAGAGGGUGAUCGGCCACACUGGAACUGAGAAACGGUCCAGACUCCUACGGGAGGCAGCAGUAGGGAAUCUUCCGCAAUGGGCGAAAGCCUGACGGAGCAACGCCGCGUGAGUGAUGAAGGUCUUCGGAUCGUAAAACUCUGUUAUUAGGGAAGAACAAAUGUGUAAGUAACUAUGCACGUCUUGACGGUACCUAAUCAGAAAGCCACGGCUAACUACGUG
rnacentral:rRNA from 1 species